AGAGUUUGAUCCUGGCUCAGAAUCAACGCUGGCGGCGCGCUUAACACAUGCAAGUCGAACGAGAAAGGGGAGCAAUCCCUGAGUACAGUGGCGUACGGGUGAGUAACACGUGGGUAAUCUACCUCUGGGUGGGGAAUAACCCUGGGAAACCGGGGCUAAUACCGCAUAACACUGAAAGGUCAAAGGCGCAAGUCGCCUGGAGAGGAGCCCGCGGCUGAUUAGCUAGUUGGUGAGGUAAGAGCUCACCAAGGCAAUGAUCGGUAGCCGGCCUGAGAGGGCACACGGCCACACUGGGACUGAGACACGGCCCAGACUCCUACGGGAGGCAGCAGUGGGGAAUCUUGCGCAAUGGGCGAAAGCCUGACGCAGCGACGCCGCGUGCGGGAAGAAGGCCUUCGGGUUGUAAACCGCUUUCAGGAGGGACGAAGCUACUCGGGUUAAUAGCCCAGAGGGUGACGGUACCUCCAGAAGAAGCCCCGGCUAACUACGUGCCAGCAGCCGCGGUAAUAC
rnacentral:rRNA from 1 species